rnacentral:misc_RNA from 1 species
AAGUCGUAACAAGGUUUCCGUAGGUGAACCUGCGGAAGGAUCAUUAGAAAGUCUGGCGCGAGAGCGCCCUACCUUCAAACCACUGUGAAACGAACCGUUGCUUCGCGGCCUGCCCCGGACCCUAACCCCUCUCGGGGCGCGCCCGGGUCGCUGUCAGUCCGCAGAAGCCUAAACCAAAACCAUUUUCUUCUGUAACAGUCUGUCUGAAACAAAUGAAAUAAAUUCGUUAAAA